rnacentral:misc_RNA from 1 species
AACGCACCUUGCACCCUCUGGUAUUCCGGAGGGUAUGCCUGUCUGAGUGUCAUGUCAAUCAUCAUCCCGCCGGGUCCUGCCCGGUGGGGUUGGAAUUGGGCGCUGCCGUCUGGCUCGCCUCAAAUGCAUUGGUGGCUAACCGGCCCUUGCUACGGCGUAAUACGUUUCGUCGUGUCUAGAGUCGGUGACCUCCUUGAAACCGCCUCUCACGAGGAUGUACGAUUGACCUCAGAUCAGGUAGGACUACCCGCUGAACUUAA